rnacentral:rRNA from 1 species
UGGGGAAUAUUGCACAAUGGGCGCAAGCCUGAUGCAGCCAUUCCGCGUGUAUGAAGAAGGCCUUCGGGUUGUAAAGUACUUUCAGCGGGGAGGAAGGGAGUAAAGUUAAUACCUUUGCUCAUUGACGUUACCCGCAGAAGAAGCACCGGCUAACUCCGUGCCAGCAGCCGCGGUAAUACGGAGGGUGCAAGCGUUAAUCGGAAUUACUGGGCGUAAAGCGCACGCAGGCGGUUUGUUAAGUCAGAUGUGAAAUCCCCGGGCUCAACCUGGGAACUGCAUCUGAUACUGGCAAGCUUGAGUCUCGGAGAGGGGGGUAGAAUUCCAGGUGUAGCGGUGAAAUGCGUAGAGAUCUGGAGGAAUACCGGUGGCGAAGGCGGCCCCCUGGACGAAGACUGACGCUCAGGUGCGAAAGCGUGGGGAGCAAACAGG